CACGUAGGGGGGCGAGCGUUGUCCGGAUUUAUUGGGCGUAAAGAGCUCGUAGGCGGCUCAGUAAGUCGGGUGUGAAAACUCCAGGCUCAACCUGGAGACGCCACCUGAUACUGCUGUGGCUAGAGUCCGGUAGGGGAGCAUGGAAUUCCUGGUGUAGCGGUGAAAUGCGCAGAUAUCAGGAGGAACACCGAUUGCGAAGGCAGCUCGCUGGGACGUUACUGACGCUGAGACGCGAAACGUGGGGAGCAAACAGG
rnacentral:rRNA from 1 species